rnacentral:rRNA from 1 species
CCCUACGGGGCGCAGCAGGCGCGAAAACUUUACAAUGCGGGAAACCGUGAUAAGGGAACUCCGAGUGUCCGUAAAUGCGGACUGUCCGUAUGUUUAAAAAGCAUGCGAAGAAAGGGCCGGGCAAGACCGGUGCCAGCCGCCGCGGUAACACCGGCGGCUCGGGUGGUAACCGUUAUUAUUGGGUCUAAAGGGUCUGUAGCCGGCCGGAUAAGUCUCUUGGGAAAUCCAGCGGCUCAACUGUUGGGCUUUCAGGAGAUACUGUCUGGCUCGAGGCCGGGAGAGGUGAGAGGUACUUCAGGGGUAGGGGUGAAAUCCUGUAAUCC